UUUAUUUCAGUUAUUUAAUUAUUACUUUCCAUACAUGCAUAAAAUGUUUAUUUAAAAUAGGACAGAGCUUUGGAAAAGUCUGUCCAACAGUGCACAGAGGUGUGUAGAUGUGAGAUGGUUUGGGACAUAUAGUCCCAGGUUAUUUCACUAAUGAUCCUUCCGCAGGUUCACCUACGGAAA
rnacentral:misc_RNA from 1 species